UGAGUGACCCUUCAUUUUACAGCUAUUCACCCGCACUUUAACCUAACACAUAGGGUUUAGUGCUGGUGAACCAGCUGUGUAAAUGUCUUAUGUAUCUCACUUAUUUGUUCUCUGUGCAGUCAGUACCAGGUCAUUGAGCCUUGCAUAAUAAUCUUUGUUUGUUCUGCAGGUGAACUGGGGUGAUGUCCUGUAUCCUCCUUAGGUCGCUGCACUCAGGAAUUCAUGGCCAAAGAAUGUCUGGGUCUUCAUUGCAUUCGCUAAUAUCUGACUAAUAACGCUAUUAUGGGAAAUGGCCUUUAUUUUUCUACGGCUUUGAAUUUAGCAAAAACAUAAAAGACAUUAUUUCCAGUAUAUAACACAGAGGAUUAGUCACGCCAUGUUUUACUUUUUUUUUUAUACUGACGGAGGAAAAAUUAACAACUGUAAAAAAUGUACAUUUUGGGGAUUUGAAGCAAAGAAAUCUCUCCGGGUCUUAGUUGUAGUUUGUAGCAGAGAGGAAGAGAGUCCCAACACUCCACCAGUAAACUACGUAAAUGGUCAACAAACUUUACAUAAAUCAAAAGAACAAGCAAAUCACUCCCUGCACUGUGUUCCUGUGUCAUCUUACUGGGAGGGAGCGCAGAAUACAAGAAGAGGGCGCUUCAUGUGAUGUCGCGCCUGCCGGGACACGCCUCCUUCCGCUCCUCUGUAAAAGAGCGCUCCUGAGCUACCGAAGAUGAUUAUAUAAAGAUGGUUAUGCGGAUGAAAAAUAGCACCACCAAAAUAAAUAUUUACAUAUUCAUGUAUAUGAUUUUAUUAUGUUCAGGACAGGAGACUGAGGAGCCAAUAUCUGUGAAAAUUAAAGCAAUCUUAUAUCCUUGUUCACAUUGAUGCGAUUUGGAUGCGGAUGUGGUGUGGCCAUGCUAAGAUGUGACCACUGUCCCAUGAUGUGCAGAAUGACCUGUUUCCGCACUCCCGAUAUGUGACCGGCGAUGCUGUCUCUGGUCCGUUUUGGGGUGAUAGCUACUUGGAGUACUGUGGGUUAAUACAAUACAAGAAUUUAGGUGCACU